rnacentral:rRNA from 1 species
AUUGAACGCUAGCGGCAUGCCUUACACAUGCAAGUCGAACGGUAACAGGUCUUCGGAUGCUGACGAGUGGCGAACGGGUGAGUAAUGCAUCGGAACGUGCCCAGUAGUGGGGGAUAGCCCGGCGAAAGCCGGAUUAAUACCGCAUACGACCUGAGGGUGAAAGGGGGGGAUCGCAAGACCUCUCGCUAUUGGAGCGGCCGAUGUCAGAUUAGCUAGUUGGUGGGGUAAAGGCCUACCAAGGCAACGAUCUGUAGUUGGUCUGAGAGGACGACCAGCCACACUGGGACUGAGACACGGCCCAGACUCCUACGGGAGGCAGCAGUGGGGAAUUUUGGACAAUGGGCGCAAGCCUGAUCCAGCAAUGCCGCGUGCAGGAAGAAGGCCUUCGGGUUGUAAACUGCUUUUGUCAGGGAAGAAAUCUUCUGGGUUAAUACCUCGGGAGGAUGACGGUACCUGAAGAAUAAGCACCGGCUAACUACGUGCCAGCCGCCGCAGUAAGAC